GACGAACGCUGGCGGCGUGCUUAACACAUGCAAGUCGAACGGAAAGGCCCUGCUUUUGUGGGGUGCUCGAGUGGCGAAAGGGUGAGUAACACGUGAGUAACCUGCCCUUUACUUUGGGAUAACUUCAGGAAACGGGGGCUAAUUCCGGAUAGGAGCUCCUGCUGCAUGGUGGGGGUUGGAGAGUGUCGGCGGUUGGGGAUGGUUUCGCGGCGUAUCGGCUUGUUGGUGGGGUGGUGGCUUACCAAGGCUUUGACGGGUAGCCGGCCUGAGAGGGUGAGCGGCCACAUUGGGACUGAGGUACGGGCCAGACGCCUAGGGGAGGCAGCAGUGGGGAAUAUUGCGAAAUGGGCGGAAGCCGGAUGCAGCAACGCCGCGUGCGGGAUGACGGCCUUUGGGUUGUAAACCGCUUUCGGCUGUGACGAAGCGUGUGUGACGGUGAUGGGUAAAGAAGCACCGGCUAACUACGUG
rnacentral:rRNA from 1 species